rnacentral:rRNA from 1 species
CCUACGGGAGGCAGCAGUGGGGAAUAUUGCACAAUGGGGGAAACCCUGAUGCAGCGACGCCGCGUGAGCGAUGAAGUAUUUCGGUAUGUAAAGCUCUAUCAGCAGGUACGAAGAUGACGGUACCUGACUACGAAGCCCCGGCUAACUACGUGCCAGCAGCCGCGGUAAUACGUAGGGGGCAAGCGUUAUCCGGAUUUACUGGGUGGAAAGGGAGCGUAGACGGCGAUGCAAGCCAGAUGGGAAAGCCCGGGGCUCAACCCCGGGACUGCAUGUGGAACUGUGUGGCUGGAGUGUCGGAGAGGCAGGCGGAAUGCCUAGUGUAGCGGUGAACUGCGUAGAUAUUAGGAGGAACCCCAGUGG